GAUUCUUUUUUCUCUUUCCACUGCUUUCUGCUCCCCUGGGCUCCUGUGGGGGGGGGGUUAGCUGGUCUCCUUCCUUGCCCCGCCACCUUGCUUUCGUCCUACGGUUGCUCUCACCUACAACAACGUGCACUGUCAGGUCGACCUAUUUUAUUAAGUCGGUGUUACCCUCUGAGGCCCACUUCCUCCGAGGCCAAACCAUUCUCGCAGGCUUUUCCGUGGCCUGGAUAUUUGAACGCCUCGAAGUCCUCGAACACCUCGGCUCCGGUCUUCUGUAUUUCACGUGCACGUGAAAUUUCAUCUCCCCGGCGAGGGGCCAGGGGUCACAACCUAGCCUUCCUCCGCGGCCCACCAUCCCAACUUCCUGCCUACGGAGCCCCCCAGACAACUCGCUUCUACGAUGCCCUGACGCCGGGGGCAGUUACAGACCUGUCCGACGGCCCUACCCCGAGCCUUCAGUCAGGACACAGUGAGGAGGGCUCCGGGCACGGAUCGCGCGGCCUCAGCAUCCUCGGGACGGCGGGGGCCGAGCCCGGCGACCGUAGGUUCGCAGUCGCUCGGGGUCCCCUUCACACCCUAGCAGCCCGCCGCAAACGCCCGCGUCUCAUCUGCUGCUGGCGCCGCCGAGGCCUCUACCAGGAGCGAGCAACCGCGAGCGGCGAGCAGGCGCCACCGACCGCCGGGCGCACGCAGCACUCACCUCCGCCUGCACGAGGCUCCCGGCCGCCUGGCCCCGCCCACAGGCCCCACCCCUUCCGGCUCCGCUCUGGACCCGCUUCCGCCCGGCAUCCCUUGGGCCUCCGAGGAGGAAAUGACGUAAGGCCGGAGUCGGGUCGGGUCGGUGACGGCCGGCCGGUAGCGGAAGCCGGCGUUUGGCGGCUCCGUGCUCCUGCAGCUCGCUGCUCGCUUCUGCCUCCCGGGACUUUGACGCGCCAGGCCGCCGCGCUCCUGGCCAAGGGUGCCCGGGGAUGCCGCUCGGCCGCUUUCUACGAGGAGCUUAAGCGGCCCGGCUGCCGCCCGGAUGGGACCGCCGGGGUGCUCUAA
rnacentral:lncRNA from 1 species